rnacentral:rRNA from 1 species
UCGUCAUCUCGUGCCGUGAGGUGUCGGCUUAAGUGCCAUAACGAGCGCAACCCCUCUCCGUAGUUGUCAUCAGGCUAAGCUGGGCGCUUUGCGGACCCUGCCACCGUAAGGUGUGAGGAAGGUGGGGAGGACGUCACAUCAGCCCGGCCCCUACGUCCGGGGCUACACACCUGUUACAAUGGCGCGUACAGAGAGCAGUCCGCCCGCAAGGUCAGACCAAUCAGAAAAGCGCGCCCCAGUUCGGAUCUGGGGUCUGCAACCCGACCCCACGAAGCUGGAUUCCAUAGUAAUCGGGCAUCAGCCAUGGCUCGGUGAAUACGUUCCCGGGCCUUGCACACACCGCCCGUCACACCAUGAGAGUCAGCAACGCCCGAAGCCGGCGGCCCAACCAGGAAUGGAGGGAGCUGUUUAAGGCGGGGCCGAUGAUUGGGGUGAAGUCGUAACAAGGUAACCGUA